rnacentral:rRNA from 1 species
AUUGAACGCUGGCGGCAGGCCUAACACAUGCAAGUCGAACGGUAGCACAGAGGAGCUUGCUCCUUGGGUGACGAGUGGCGGACGGGUGAGUAAUGUCUGGGAAACUGCCCGAUGGAGGGGGAUAACUACUGGAAACGGUAGCUAAUACCGCAUAACGUCUUCGGACCAAAGUGGGGGACCUUCGGGCCUCACACCAUCGGAUGUGCCCAGAUGGGAUUAGCUAGUAGGUGGGGUAAUGGCUCACCUAGGCGACGAUCCCUAGCUGGUCUGAGAGGAUGACCAGCCACACUGGAACCGAGACACGGUCCAGACUCCGACGGGAGGCAGCAGUGGGGAAUAUUGCACAAUGGGCGCAAGCCUGAUGCAGCCAUGCCGCGUGUAUGAAGAAGGCCUUCGGGUUGUAAAGUACUUUCAGCGGGGAGGAAGGCGUUAAGGUUAAUAACCUUGGCGAUUGACGUUACCCGCAGAAGAAGCACCGGCUAACUCCGUGCCAGCCGCCGCGGUAAGAC